UACGUAGGGUGCGAGCAUUGUCCGGAAUUAUUGGGCGUAAAGAGCUCGUAGGCGGCCUGUCGCGUCGGAUGUGAAAGCCCGGGGCUUAACCCCGGGUCUGCAUUCGAUACGGGCAGGCUGGAGUUCGGUAGGGGAGAUCGGAAUUCCUGGUGUAGCGGUGAAAUGCGCAGAUAUCAGGAGGAACACCGGUGGCGAAGGCGGAUCUCUGGGCCGAUACUGACGCUGAGGAGCGAAAGCGUGGGGAGCAAACAGG
rnacentral:rRNA from 1 species